GCUAGUGUAGCUUAACGUAAAGCAUGGCACUGAAGAUGCUAAUAUAAAAUUUAAAAUCUUUCACAAGCA
rnacentral:tRNA from 1 species